GCGGGAAUAGCUCAGUUGGCAGAGCACGACCUUGCCAAGGUCGGGGUCGCGAGUUCGAGUCUCGUUUCCCGCU
rnacentral:tRNA from 1 species